rnacentral:rRNA from 1 species
AACGAACGCUGGCGGCAUGCCUAACACAUGCAAGUCGAACGAUACCUUCGGGUCUAGUAGCGCACGGGUGCGUAACGCGUGGGAACCUGCCCUUAGGUUCGGAAUAACUCCCCGAAAGGGGUGCUAAUACCGGAUAAUGUCUUCGGACCAAAGAUUUAUCGCCUUUGGAUGGGCCCGCGUUGGAUUAGCUAGUUGGUAGGGUAAAAGCCUACCAAGGCGACGAUCCAUAGCUGGUCUGAGAGGAUGAUCAGCCACACUGGGACUGAGACACGGCCCAGACUCCUACGGGAAGCAGCAGUGGGGAAUAUUGGACAAUGGGCGAAAGCCUGAUCCAGCAAUGCCGCGUGAGUGAUGAAGGCCUUAGGGUUGUAAAGCUCUUUUACCCGGGAUGAUAAUGACAGUACCGGGAGAAUAAGCGCCGGCUAACUCCGUG